GACGAACGCUGGCGGCGUGCUUAACACAUGCAAGUCGAGCGAUGAAGCUUCUUCGGAAGUGGAUUAGCGGCGGACGGGUGAGUAACACGUGGGUAACCUGCCUCAUAGAGGGGAAUAGCCUUCCGAAAGGAAGAUUAAUACCGCAUAAGAUUGUAAUAUCGCAUGAUAUAGCAAUUAAAGGAGCAAUCCGCUAUGAGAUGGACCCGCGUCGCAUUAGCUAGUUGGUGAGGUAACGGCGCACCAAGGCGACGAUGCGUAGCCGACCUGAGAGGGUGAUCGGCCACAUUGGGACUGAGACCCGGCCCAGACUCCUACGGGAGGCUGCAGUGGUGAAUAUUGCACAAUGGGGGAAACCCUGAUGCAGCAACGCCGGGUGAGUGAUGACGGUCUUCGGAUUGUAAAGCUCUGUCUUUAGGGACGAUAAUGACGGUACCUAAGGAGGAAGCCACGGCUAACUACGUGCCAGCAGCCGCAGUAACAC
rnacentral:rRNA from 1 species